rnacentral:lncRNA from 1 species
GGAAGUCUAGCUUGAUACCCUUGGCCUGUAUAACUGAGCCUUGUGCCAGUUAAAAGGGCAAAGCAGUAGGUGCUCAGGGGGUGUCGGGGCCCUGAGAGCUGAUCUGAUCCGCUGCUGCGUAUUCACUACCGCCCUGGGACGCCUCCAGCAGACCACCUCACUGGGGGAAACAUCAGGACAGCGUGGCCAGGAGCCCAAUGCUGCCACCUCAUAGAUGGGUAUCUGAGAUGAGUCAUCGAACUUCUGCAAGCCUCAGUUUCCUCCCUGGUCUAAUGGAACCCUCCUUGGCGGCUUCACAGGGUGAUGCUUGGGGCAGGUGAUGGAGAUGUGGGAGAGGCAGUUAUUUUUAACCACCCAGCCAAGCCCCUUGCCAGGAGGGACUCCCAGAAAUGAAGCCUUACCCUUGAGGGAGUUCCCCGCCACUCCAAGCUUGGGGCCUGGGAUGGCAGCUGUGAGGGCACCAGCACCAUCUGGGGACUCGCUGGGUACCAAUUAUCACCGCCCUUGGGCUACUUCAAAGGCUGCCCACACAGACACACCCUCCUUGGUAACCAGUCCUCAGGAGGAAGGGCACCCAAGGAAAGGGGGAAGGCUUCCUGGGCUAGAGCCCCUUCAGGGUCUGACACGCCAUUGACACUGACCACGUCAUUCAUUAAGCAAGCACCAACUAUACAUCAUUCACUAUCCCAAUCUAAUUUGCACAAGCCCUUAGGCAGGUGCUACUAUUAUCCCUGUUUUACAGAGAAGGAAACCGAGGCUUAGGAGAUGAAGUCUGAGGUGUUGGUGGAGCUGGGAUUUAAACCAAAAUAUGUCCAACUGCAAAGCAUGAAAAAGUUGGAAGAGUGCGUAUGAAAUAGGCCUGGCAGAAACUAUGAGCUGGUGUUCCAAGGUCGGGGAUGGGGAGCCCUCACUGGAGGCACCCCUCAAACCCUCAGUGCUGUGGCCAGGGAACCGGGCUGGCAGUCUUAGUUGGCUUUGUUCCCUCGGCCUCCACUUCCC